rnacentral:tRNA from 1 species
AAGAGAGUGAUGUGUUCAGUUACGUUGAAUGGUACCUUUGUAGGCGCUCUUU